CCGAGUUUUACAACUCCCAAACCCCUGUGAACAUACCUAUCGUUGCUUCGGCGGAUCCGCCCCGGCGCCCGCCGGAGACCCCAAACUCUUGUAUUUCUUUAGUAUCUUCUGAGUAAACAAGCAAAUAAAUUA
rnacentral:misc_RNA from 1 species